UGGGGAAUAUUGGACAAUGGGCGCAAGCCUGAUCCAGCCAUGCCGCGUGAGUGACGAAGGUCUUCGGAUUGUAAAGCUCUUUUUACCAGGGACGAUAAUGACGGUACCUGGAGAAUAAGCCCCGGCUAACUUCGUGCCAGCAGCCGCGGUAAUACGAAGGGGGCUAGCGUUGUUCGGAAUUACUGGGCGUAAAGCGCACGUAGGCGGAUUUGUAAGUCAGGGGUGAAAUCCCGGGGCUCAACCUCGGAACUGCCUUUGAUACUGCAAGUCUCGAGUCCGAUAGAGGUGAGUGGAAUUCCUAGUGUAGCGGUGAAAUGCGUAGAUAUCAAGAGGAACACCUGAGGUGAAGACGGGUUGCUGGGCUGACACUGACGCUGAGGCGCGAAAGCCAGGGGAGCAAACGGGAUUAGAUACCCGCGUAGUCCCUGAGCGGGCUGGCAAGGCGCAU
rnacentral:rRNA from 1 species